rnacentral:rRNA from 1 species
GUAGUCUGCAACCCGACUACAUGAAGCUGGAAUCGCUAGUAAUCGCGAAUCAGAAUGUCGCGGUGAAUACGUUCCCGGGUCUUGUACACACCGCCCGUCACACCAUGGGAGUCGGAUAUGCCCGAAGCCGGUGACCUAACCGCAAGGAAGGAGCCGUCGAAGGUGGAGCCGAUGACUGGGGUGAAGUCGUAACAAGGUACC